GAUGAACGCUAGCUACAGGCUUAACACAUGCAAGUCGAGGGGAAACGGCAUUAAGUGCUUGCACUUUUUGGACGUCGACCGGCGCACGGGUGAGUAACGCGUAUCCAACCUUCCCAUGACUAAGGGAUAACCUGCCGAAAGGCAGACUAAUACCUUAUGGUCUUCACUGACGGCAUCAGAUGUGAAGUAAAGAUUUAUCGGUUAUGGAUGGGGAUGCGUCUGAUUAGCUUGUUGGCGGGGUAACGGCCCACCAAGGCAACGAUCAGUAGGGGUUCUGAGAGGAAGGUCCCCCACAUUGGAACUGAGACACGGUCCAAACUCCUACGGGAGGCAGCAGUGAGGAAUAUUGGUCAAUGGGCGAGAGCCUGAACCAGCCAAGUAGCGUGCAGGAAGACGGCCCUAUGGGUUGUAAACUGCUUUUGUAUGGGGAUAAAGUCAAUCACGUGUGAUUGUUUGCAGGUACCAUACGAAUAAGGACCGGCUAAUUCCGUGCCAGCAGCCGCGGUAAUACGGAAGGUCCGGGCGUUAUCCGGAUUUAUUGGGUUUAAAGGGAGCGUAGGCUGGAGAUUAAGUGUGUUGUGAAAUGUAGACGCUCAACGUCUGACUUGCAGCGCAUACUGGGUUUCCUUGAGUACGCACAACGUUGGCGGAAAUCGUCGUGUAGCGGGUGAAAUGCUUAAUAUAAAGAAAAACUCCCAUUGCGAAGGGCCCUGCACGGGGAGCGCAACUGACGCUGAGCUCGAAGGUGCGAGUGUCGAAAAGAUUAAUAGCCCUAAUAUACCAAUGAUAAUUGGGGGGGGGGGGGUCACUCUUAUGUCUCCUCUCGACGGGGAGAGGGGGGCGCGGGGGCCGGCGGGGGUCUUCCGCGCGUGGCAGAUCCAAGAUGCUUUUAAAAGG
rnacentral:rRNA from 1 species